CCGCCAUGGCGGUACGCCUAUCUAUCAACAGCGUGUUUCAUUUAAACAUUUUUCUCUGUACUUUAAAUUCAUAACGGAAAGGAAAUUGCUAUGAAGUGAUAUAUACCAGAUUUCUCAAAUGAAGAUGUUGAUUUGGGUUGUCAUAUUUUGUUCUUUCCUGUCACUUUCAAAUGCAAUGGCAUCAAAAGCUUGCUGGGCCGGCUCUCAAAAACAAGAAUGUCUGUAUGACACAGUCUUACAAGGGCGAGAAGGACUGAUGAUAAGCUACUUUCUAUCAAUUCCAUUUUCUCGGAUUUGUUGCGAAGCCCUACGUUGUACCCUGGAGACAAGAAGGUGUGAGUUUAAAUACGCUCGAUGUCAUGAUAACAGCACAGUUAACAUCCAGACUCGACCAAGACUUUUGGAACUCCAAAACAUACCUACAAUGAUGCGUUGCAGCGAUGUGCAAGGCAAGGGUGCAUUUUAUUGGUUUUGGUCUCAAAUUGUGCAGGAAGAACCCUUUUAUGACGCGGAGCUAUGAUUUAAAAUCGAUUUGAUGUGUUUACAAAGUAUAAUAAAUGCUUAUGAUACCUGUC